rnacentral:sRNA from 1 species
AGUGAGGGUUCUGAAGAAAUACUUCCUGCUGCACCUGGUUUCUGCACAGUCCGCGCUGUACUCUUCUUGUCACUCGUUGAGAUGUGUCCCGGCGGUUUCACUGGCUAGUUCUGAUCUCACCCGCUAACUGAGCCGUGCCAGUGCCGCCGGGAUCUACCCUUCAACCCCACAUCCGGGGGGGGGGGGUAAUAUUUUCUUUCCUUCUUUCUUUCUUCCCUUUCAUACAUUGUAGUUUUAUGCUUUUAACCCGAAUCGGUGGGGACGGGAGCUUCGUCCAGAGAUCUGAAGAGAUAGGCUUCCUGUACGUAGGGAGACCGUACAAAAUCCCUGGAAAAAUACUCUUAUACUACCUGGGAACUUCUGACGAGAUUCAUGACUACUGAAUUUUUCAAACGGCUAACAAGUAUUCCGCACUAUCCAAUGGGCAAUCGACAAAGUUGGGCCAAAAAGAGAAAAGCACGCAAGCAGAAUCAGAACUAGUUAACUAACUAACUUUUUACUCCGUAGACCAGAAACGAUUAUGCAACCAAAAUCAAAUUUCCUUCGCCUGGGCCUCCCUAAAAUUUGAACCUAAUGCGCCACGCCGUUGGCUCUGGUUUCCCCAUGUCCAUUUGUGAGAGGGC